CUGGUAGAGAGCAAUGAAAUUGUUUUAGAGAGCAGCUUGCAGAAAACACUCCUUGAACACAAAAAUCUAGAUGCCCACGAUCCAUCUUGGACUGAAUUUUUUUCACCUCUUGCAUGCUGUUUUUAAUGUCUAAGUAAGUAAUGGAUUGGUGACACGAACACCUGCUGGAAGCCUGUGAUCCACAUAAGAGAACAGCUCUCCUAAAAGCCUGACAGCCAUCCUGCAGAGUACUUAAAUGAAUAUCUGCUGACAAACCACAGCUUUGAUCAUCCAUUCCUCACAGGGCCUGGCUGGGCACAGCAGGGCUGGAGCUCCAAGGGCUGAGCCAGGGAGCUCUGGCACAGAAUCCUUUCCCGAGCCAGGCUGCUCCUGCUGCAGCUCCACCAUCCCUCCCCACCCCAGUGCCACCCGAGGCUGUGCACAGCUUUUUGCUUCUUUAAUGCAACUGCUGCCGUACAAUGAAAUCUCUGCUGGAAAUGCCACCAGGGGAAUCUCAGUGGGUGAUAAAUCCUUAUUCCAAGUGUGGCAAGCACACCGGGGAAAGGGUAGCACCUUACAAAUAGGGCUUUGUCUGCAAAUGAGAGUUAUUUCAGGGUCUGCUAAUUUGUAACUGAGAUAGUUAAGGUAUCUCAUUUGUGAUAAAAAAAACUAACCAAGCAACCAAACAAACAAAAAAAAACCACUGUGCCAGAAAGUGUGCUGUGCAAAAUCUUUGGAAAUGUGACAGUUUCCUUGGAAAAGGAACUUCUGUGCAGGAAUUCCUUAAAAAGACAGUCAAGCAUAUUUGUCUAGUCCUUCACAAAUCUUUUCAGUUGGGAAUAUUUUCUCAGACCUCAAUCAUUCCUUUACAGGAAAAGGUAUCAUAGGUAUUCCUGUGAAUACCUAUUUAUAUAACUUGGUUCCCUUUGUAACUUUCAUUUUUCCAAAGAAUGCUUGAGAGAAAUACUGGUAUAACUCUUUCACACACACAUAAAAUAAUGCUGAAAAAUACUGAAAUUUCCUACUGUAGGAAACAGCCUACUAAAUGAAGAAUUGAGUUAAUAGGAUUUAUUUUAUUGGUGCUGUCAGGUCAGAGGUUUGAAGAGUUAAUGAUUUAACAACAGAAUGAGAGAAACAGGGAUAUUUAACUUAAGAAAAAAUGCUUUCAACUUGAAAAGGCUCAGCCAUCUGAUGAUGCUGAGAGAUGUAGAAAGGCUAUUUCUAGAAGCAAGAUUGUUGGACAAGAAUAUACUUACACAUUUAAGUAGGUGAAGACACUGCUCAGUUUAUAUGGGGAAAAUACUGACAAUACAAAUGACAGUUUAAACUGGAUGCCAAGUUGGAGAUGUGUUCAUGGGGAAAGUGGAUGAAGGACGCUUCCUGCAUGCUGAAUGAUUAAAGCACAUUUUGGUACACAGAGCAGCUCAAGGAGAAAAUGUGCUUUGAAACAAUCUGUGUAUAUUUAGUAAGGAGGCAGAUCUGAGAGUACGACACAGUGUUGUAGUUAAUAACUUGCAGUCAGUGGUGGAAAAAGGGAAAACCACCA